AACAAGGUUUCCGUAGGUGAACCUGCGGAAGGAUCAUUACCGAGUUCUCGGGCUUCGGCUCGAAUCUCCCACCCUUUGUGAACACACCUCUGUUGCUUUGGCGGCUCUUGCCGCGUCGGAGGGGGAGGCCCCUUUGAAAAAAGAAGGCCCCCGCCGCCCCGCGCGCGCGCGCUUCCGCCAGAGGCCCUUCAAACUCCAGUCAGUAAACGUCGACGUCUGAUGAACAAGUUAAUAAACUAAAACUUUCAACAACGGAUCUCUUGGUUCUGGCAUCGAUGAAGAACGCAGCGAAAUGCGAUAAGUAAUGUGAAUUGCAGAAUUCAGUGAAUCAUCGAAUCUUUGAACGCACAUUGCGCCCCUUGGCAUUCCGAGGGGCAUGCCUGUUCGAGCGUCAUUACAACCCUCAAGCUCUGCUUGGUAUUGGGCGCCGUCCUCUCUGCGGACGCGCCUCAAAGACCUCGGCGGUGGCUGUUCAGCCCUCAAGCGUAGUAGAAUACACCUCGCUUUGGAGCGGUUGGCGUCGCCCGCCGGACGAACCUUCUGAACUUUUCUCAAGGUUGACCUCGGAUCAGGUAGGGAUACCCGCUGAACUUAAGCAUAUCAAUAAGCGGAGGA
rnacentral:rRNA from 1 species